UACGUAGGGGGCAAGCGUUGUCCGGAAUUAUUGGACGUAAAGGGUUCGCAGGCGGUCUGAUAAGUCAGAUGUGAAAGACUAUGGCUUAACCAUGGUAAGCAUUUGAAACUGUCAGACUUGAGUUAAGGAGAGGAAAGUGGAAUUCCUAGUGUAGCGGUGAAAUGCGUAGAUAUUAGGAGGAAUACCAGUGGCGAAGGCGACUUUCUGGACUUAUACUGACGCUGAGGAACGAAAGCGUGGGGAGGCAAACAGGAUUAGAUACCCUGGUAGUCCCU
rnacentral:rRNA from 1 species